ensembl:lncRNA
CCCCCCCCCCCCACGUCCGUCCGGGAGCCAAUCUCUCGCCCCCUCAUAGUCUCCAGCUGGAUGCGACCAUGUAGAAACGGAGAGGUGGAGUUGGAGAAGUGGAAGUGAAAGCUACAGCCUCAGACACGGGUUCCACUUGGGCUUCAAUGCACCGGGAGAAUGGAGUGGUGGGAGUGGGGAUGGACUCGACGGCGCAUUAGUGUCUCCACUAGGAACUGUGGUUGAUGCCCCACGCGGUGCACUAUUAUGGGUGUUAGGAAUACAGCCGUUUGGAAAGAGACAAAAACGCUGGCCCUCGUGGAGCUUGCAUUCUAUUGGGAUCAUACAGCACAAAAACGAGCUGAGAACUGUCAUCCUCACUGGACCUCAGGCUCCUCAUCUGCAAAUGGUGACCUCCUCGUUGGGUGUUGGGCAGAUUACCUGUGUUUAUAUGUGUACAGAGGUUUGUCACAGGGCCCCUAGCAAGGGUGAGAGUGAUGCCAGCAGAUAUUGUCCUUAUCAGUAAUAUUACCACAGGCUCCUGUGAGCUGUACGUGACUGAGGACUUGCCUUUCCUGGGGAUGGGGAUCCUAAGCUUUCAUCUCUGUGGUACCAGGGCAGGCAUGGGAGAACUGACAGCAAAUGUGAAAUCACAGGCCUACUGCUAAGCCCUGUGAGAGUAAGGUCCGUCCUGCCUUCCUCUUGAAAUCAUUCUCAAGUGCAGAUACAUGAGCAGCUCAGAGACCCAACACUCUGGACCAAGACCUCCACCCCCCUAAAAUAGUUCAGAGAACUCAUGACCUGGGACAGCCACCCACAAACAAUUCAGAGACCUCUCAUCCUAGACACCAACCACAAACAGUUAAAAGAUGUCACACCUGAGAACAUAGACGCCAACCAGCUCCGCGAAUUCCUACUCUGGGUAAUAGUUCCUCUUCAGCUCAGAGGCCUCACGCACUUCCCCAUAGAGCCUUCAGGCUGCACCCUGGGACACAGACCCACAAAUCUUCAUCUCAGGGCUGCUGUGUGGGCAGUGACAGUGAGUCUCUGUCCCAUCCACCCCCUGUGAGAGAGGCCUUGGGUCUUGCAGUCCCCACUAUCUGUAGUCAUCACCAUGUCCUCGUGAGGAAGGCAGUUUCACUCCAGGGAUGGGGAGGGCCUCUGGAGCUGACGGGUUCUGAGAGCGACCUCUCAUGUCUGGGUCCAGGGAAUGACCAUCAUCUAACCAACCCUGGUCACUUCUGGUCGUAGCGACUUUUGCAUCCUGCCCCAUAGGGGAUUUAGGGUGAAUCCCAGAUCCACAGAAGGAGGCCCAUGGACUUAGUCAUCUCUGCCAUCUCUCAGCACCCACUUUGGGGUUCUGGAUCCUAGGAAGACAGUCUUCCCUUCACACUGCCUAUGGCAGCCCCCAUUAAAUCCCUCUGAUGAUCCCUGUCGUUUCCUCAAACUCCCUCUCCUGGUGGCAGCUGCCAUACGUCUUCUCUCUACCCCGAUUUUCCCCUCCCCUUGCCAGCCAUGAGACCUCCCCUUCCACCACAGGGGCCUCUUUUGCACCUCUCCCAGCCCUAUUCACCAGGCCUCAGUUACACCUCUCGCCCCCAUUUGCAUCCUUUCACCCAGCACCCAGACAGGACCCCCUCAGGACCCUCCCUGCUUCCUUCAAGUUCAGAACAUUGUGCAGGACAGAACUCUCUCCUGCGCCCUACACAGGGGUCUGUCAUAAAGUCCUGUUAGGGUAGAGCUGAAAAUCUCUCCAGGAUCCACCUGAAACUCCAGACCCAUCCUGGGAGUCUAGGGCAAUUCCUCCAGGGCUGGGAGGGAAGGAGAAGGGUUUCUGAGAGGAGGAGCUACAGUGAGUGUCCCCUCAGGAGGUGGCCUGACAGUGUGCAGAGCUGGGUCUGUGAGGACAGGGAAGCGGCCCUGGGAGGGACAGGGGCAGUGUGAACUUGAGGAGUGCCCCAGCCGCUGUCCUCAUGGGCUUGGGCAUAAUGGAGCCAGUUACCUGCCUUCUCUGGGCCUGAGCGUCCUCAUCAGUGACAGUGUUUUCUUCCAAGGGGCCUAGUGAGG